CCAACGAGUAUCAAUUGGAGGACAAGUCUGGUGCCAGCACCCGCGGUAAUUCCAGCUCCAAUAGCGUAUAUUAAUGUUGCUGCUGUUAAGGGGUUCGUAGUUGGACUCGGGGCGCGCGGAUGCCCGCACACUCGUGCGCGCUCUUGCGCGCCCCGUCACAGACGGAGCCGCGUUCCGCCGCGUGCCUUCAGUGGUACGCGGCCCCCGCAAGGGACCGAGUGGGACACACUCUUUGAACCGUCCGUCGUUCUCACCGUGAAUAAAACAGCGUGUUCAAGGCAGCCGUUCGGCCGCAUGACAAAGCAUGGAAUGACAGAGCAUCGACCAGCUGGGCGUGCUUUUGUUGGUUUUACUACCUCGUUGGGUAACUCGCCCCCGUGGGCUCGCUCUGCGGAGCGUCCCGCGGGCGCACGGGAUUAACGGGGGUUGUCGGGGAAAACCGUAUUCGGGCGUGAGAGGUGAAAUUCUUAGACCGCCCGGGGACGAACUCAAGCGAAGGCAGUUUUCAAGUAUACCUUCAUCAAUCAAGAACUAAAGUGUGGAGAUCGAAGAUGAUUAGAUACCAUUGUAGUCCACCACUGCAAACGAUGACGCCCAUGGAUCGGACAGUAUUUUACUCCGAUGGGAUCUUUUCGGCACUGCUCCCCUUCAACGCGAAAGCUGAGGCUAUGGUCUCAUGGGGAAGUACGUUCGCAAGGCUGAAACUUAAAGAAAUUGACGGAAUGGCACCACCAGACGUGGAGUGUGCGGUUUAAUUUGACUCAACACGGGAAACCUUACCAGGACAGGACAACGGAAUGAUUGACAGAUUGAUAGCUCUUUCUUGAUUCGUUUGACGGUGGUGCAUGGCCGCUUUUGGUCGGUGAAGUGAUUUGUUUGGUUGAUUCCUUUAACGGACGAGACCCAAUCCGCUUACUAGGUGCGACAUUCUGUUUGGGGUUGUGCCCUCGGGCGCGGCCCUGAAAAUGGCGCCCCUUCUUCGCGGCAUUCCAUGCGCCUUAGCAUGGUGGCAUUUUGGGCAACAGCAGGUCC
rnacentral:rRNA from 1 species